CCGCAGCCUCCGCUGUCGCCAGUACGGCCACCACCGUGCCACCACCACUGCCGUUAGAAAUCAGAGUCAUGUGCACCACGUCUGCCUACUGUCCUCGAACGCAGGUGACAGUGCAACCCUUUCGCACCAGGAACUCUGGGCUGAGCGCCAGGUGUGAGGCCUCUACACACGGCAACCUAUGAGCAAAUGAAACUAAAUUAACCACAAAGGCAAGGAUAAAAAGAUUCCAACAUGCCAUUUGCGAAUAUGUGGUUCUGAAUUAAGGAUGUGGCGUCUGCCUUGGGGCAGCCUUGCACCAGCGUGGUGGGGAGAGAAGGAAAGGACGCAGCUGUUGUCCAAAGGGGCCAUAGGAGAAUACGGAAUUCAAAUUUUCUUCCCCAGAGCCGGUCCUGAUUUACACUUUGUUCGUUUUCACCCGUCUUUUUAAAAAAUUUGCGGCUAGACAAAUGCUGAAACUCUGGCUCCCAGUCAGCAGCAACUCUUGGGACCAGCAGAUGAGUCCAGAAUUCAGCAUGAGUUGAUUGAUGUUAAGCUACUGGCGAAGCUGCUAUUUCAGAUUAAGGAUGCUGCAGUGAAAUUUGCACCCGAAUUCCAAGAAAAUGAACAUGUCUCAGAGGAAGAGACGCCAACAAAACUUUACCAAAAAUGAGUGCUCAGAGACAUUUCAUGGCAAGAGCGACAGUGGCUAGCAUUGCCAGUAUGCCGUUGAACAGAAGUGAUGAAACUGGACAUCCUUGCCUUGUUCUCAGGCUUAUUGGAGAUAUGCACGAAAAAGACAAGGGGGGUUCGACAAUCCGAGGGCCGAGGCACCGAAAUUCGAACUGGCCCAGAGCGACCUUGUUUUGGCGAAGACUCAUUUACUGAGCGGGAGAGGCGGCAGCAAUGGGUGUGCGGAAAGGGAAGCUAUUCUUAAAAGACAGUGAUCAACAGCUGCAAUUGAUGUCGAAAAAUGAUCCAAACUUCAGUUUCUUUCCGUGGACUUGUCCUAAUUGAAAUCCCGAUUGCAAGCAAAAACCAAAACUUGAAUUCAUUGAUGAAGGUCCUGUUAAAAGAGGCCAACAAGAGUACGAGACAUACGACAAUUAAAUUGUUAGGUGAUGCGACUGCCAUACUAGACUUCUCGGAGACGUUCUAAUUUAUUUUUUAUUACGUUUUUUAAGAUGCAGAAUUUAGGUAAACAACUUUCCC